AGAUCCACUUCUCCAGGGUGAUUAAUCGCUGCCGUGCUUGGCAAGCGCCGAGGGAGAGAGGUUUGUGGGGAGGAAGUGGGGCACAGGCCGCAGCUGGCCCGCUGUCGUUACUGCUCAGGCCCGGCCCCUGUUCGCCCUCAACAAAGCGCAGCUGCUUCGUGUCUGUCACAAUCAAUGGCAUGACAUUUCCCAACUGGUAAUUUCCAGAAGGAUUCCUGUUGAUGCCUUUUGGAACUGCCAAUCUCAAAGGAAAAUAAAGAAGCCCCAGAAUGGAAGCUGGAAGCUGAGUGGCGGCAAAGAGCACUCUUCAUGGGACUGAUUCAGAGGGAUGCAGGUUCCUCCAGAUUCAUAGAAGAACAAUAGGAAGGACCAAGGACAAGAAGGACCUCACUCUUGGGGACCCACCUGAGAACUGCCUCCAGGAAAUAUUCGCUGUAGUGGAUGGGUACUGUUCCCCUGAAGAGAAAUUCUCUAAUGGCUACAGAUGGGGCUCAAGAACAAGGAGAUGCAAUUGCAACCAGGAUGUCUUGUGGAUAAGAGGCACAGAUUCCAUGGAGUCAAAGGGACUUCAGUACAUCCGUCAAGCGAAUAUCAUAGCCUGGAGUGUGAAUAUGUACUGAUCGAAACCUAUUUUUUAUGAAGGACUCUGUCAUUAAAAAAGUGUAUCACUUUCCAAUUUUAUAUUUCAAAUUAAAAGCUUUAUUCUCACAUGUCUAUAGUAAGAAGUAUAAAAUACAUUCCAGAGAACUGCACAUACACAAAAUACACAAAUACAC
rnacentral:lncRNA from 1 species